GCCACCAAACUCAACCCCAAGGAGUCACACGGUAAUAAGGUUACACUCAAACCCAACAAUGGCCGAAAUACUCAACACCACAAGCAACCAAGCUCACGGCAACAACAAGUUACCACAAAUAACAACAAGUUACAACAAGUAACUAACCUCACACAAGGCAAGUAGGCACCAAGACAAUGCGCAUCAAACAACCAUCAAGUGACCAAGCAUCCAAUCCCACGCAAGCAAGCUCAACACCAAGCGCAUAACAAGCAAGCUUCAACCCAAUGUGCUUCAAUCACAAAGACAACAACCCAUGCCCAAUAUCCACAUAGCAUACAACAAUCAUGCAUAAGAAACAACCAUCAAGAAAGGUAGAAAGCAAG
rnacentral:misc_RNA from 1 species